rnacentral:rRNA from 1 species
UACGUAGGGCGCAAGCGUUAUCCGGAAUUAUUGGGCGUAAAGAGCUCGUAGGCGGCUUGUCGCGUCGAAUGUGAAAUCUCAGGGCUCAACUCUGACAUUGCAUUCGAUACGGGCAGGCUAGAGUUCGGUAGGGGAGACUGGAAUUCCUGGUGUAGCGGCGAAAUGCGCAGAUAUCAGGAGGAACACCGGUGGCGAAGGCGGGUCUCUGGGCCGAUACUGACGCUGAGGAGCGAAAGCGUGGGGAGCGAACAGG